GCUGGAGUAGCUCAGUUGAUUAGAGCUUAUGGCUAUUAACCACAAGAUCAAAGGUUUAAAUCCUUUUUUAGCG
rnacentral:tRNA from 1 species